UCUGCCAGUAGUCAUAUGCUUGUCUUAAAGAUUAAGCCAUGCAUGUCUAAGUAUAAGCAAUUAUACAGCGAAACUGCGAAUGGCUCAUUAAAUCAGUUAUCGUUUAUUUGAUAGUACCUUACUACAUGGAUAACCGUGGUAAUUCUAGAGCUAAUACAUGCUGAAAACCCCGACUUCGGAAGGGGUGUAUUUAUUAGAUUAAAAACCAAUGCCCUCCGGGGCUCACUGGUGAUUCAUGAUAACUUCUCGAAUCGCACGGCCUUGCGCCGGCGAUGGUUCAUUCAAAUUUCUGCCCUAUCAACUUUCGACGGCUGGGUCUUGGCCAGCCGUGGUGACAACGGGUAACGGAGGGUUAGGGCUCGACCCCGGAGAAAACGCCUGAGAAACGGCGUUUACAUCCAAGGAAGGCAGCAGGCGCGCAAAUUACCCAAUGCCGACACGGCGAGGUAGUGACGAGAAAUACUGAUACAGGGCUCUUUUGGGUCUUGUAAUUGGAAUGAGUACAAUUUAAAUCUCUUAACGAGGAACAAUUGGAGGGCAAGUCUGGUGCCAGCAGCCGCGGUAAUUCCAGCUCCAAUAGCGUAUAU
rnacentral:rRNA from 1 species